rnacentral:rRNA from 1 species
CCUGUGAGGGUUGCUGGAGGUAUCAGAAGUGCGAAUGCUGACAUAAGUAACGAUAAAGCGGGUGAAAAGCCCGCUCGCCGGAAGACCAAGGGUUCCUGUCCAACGUUAAUCGGGGCAGGGUGAGUCGACCCCUAAGGCGAGGCCGAAAGGCGUAGUCGAUGGGAAACAGGUUAAUAUUCCUGUACUUGGUGUUACUGCGAAGGGGGGACGGAGAAGGCUAUGUUAGCCGGGCGACGGUUGUCCCGGUUUAAGCAUGUAGGCUGAUUAUCCAGGCAAAUCCGGAUAAUCAAGGCUGAGGUGUGAUGACGAGGCACUACGGUGCUGAAGUAACAAAUGCCCUGCUUCCAGGAAAAGCCUCUAAGCAUCAGGUAACAUCAAAUCGUACCCCAAACCGACACAGGUGGUCAGGUAGAGAAUACCAAGGCGCUUGAGAGAACUCGGGUGAAGGAACUAGGCAAAAUGGUGCCGUAACUUCGGGAGAAGGCACGCUGGUGUGUAGGUGAAGUCCCUGCGGAUGGAGCUGAGACCAGUCGAAGAUACCAGCUGGCUGCAACUGUUUAUUAAAAACACAGCACUGUGCAAACACGAAAGUGGACGUAUACGGUGUGACGCCUGCCCGGUGCCGGAAGGUUAAUUGAUGGGGUUAUCCGUAAGGAGAAGCUCUUGAUCGAAGCCCCGGUAAACGGCGGCCGUAACUAUAACGGUCCUAAGGUAGCGAAAUUCCUUGUCGGGUAAGUUCCGACCUGCACGAAUGGCGUAAUGAUGGCCAGGCUGUCUCCACCCGAGACUCAGUGAAAUUGAACUCGCUGUGAAGAUGCAGUGUACCCGCGGCAAGACGGAAAGACCCCGUGAACCUUUACUAUAGCUUGACACUGAACAUUGAGCCUUGAUGUGUAGGAUAGGUGGGAGGCUUUGAAGCGUGGACGCCAGUCUGCGUGGAGCCAACCUUGAAAUACCACCCUUUAAUGUUUGAUGUUCUAACGUUGGCCCCUUAUCGGGGUUGCGGACAGUGUCUGGUGGGUAGUUUGACUGGGGCGGUCUCCUCCCAAAGCGUAACGGAGGAGCACGAAGGUUAGCUAAUCCUGGUCGGACAUCAGGAGGUUAGUGCAAUGGCAUAAGCUAGCUUGACUGCGAGCGUGACGGCGCGAGCAGGUGCGAAAGCAGGUCAUAGUGAUCCGGUGGUUCUGAAUGGAAGGGCCAUCGCUCAACGGAUAAAAGGUACUCCGGGGAUAACAGGCUGAUACCGCCCAAGAGUUCAUAUCGACGGCGGUGUUUGGCACCUCGAUGUCGGCUCAUCACAUCCUGGGGCUGAAGUAGGUCCCAAGGGUAUGGCUGUUCGCCAUUUAAAGUGGUACGCGAGCUGGGUUUAGAACGUCGUGAGACAGUUCGGUCCCUAUCUGCCGUGGGCGCUGGAGAAUUGAGGGGGGCUGCUCCUAGUACGAGAGGACCGGAGUGGACGCAUCACUGGUGUUCGGGUUGUCAUGCCAAUGGCACUGCCCGGUAGCUAAAUGCGGAAGAGAUAAGUGCUGAAAGCAUCUAAGCACGAAACUUGCCCCGAGAUGAGUUCUCCCUGAGACUUUAAGUCUCCUGAAGGAACGUUAAAGACGAUGACGUUGAUAGGCCGGGUGUGUAAGCGCAGCGAUGCGUUGAGCUAACCGGUACUAAUGAACCGUGAGGCUUAACCUU